AACGAACGCUGGCGGCAUGCCUAACACAUGCAAGUCGAACGAGACCUUCGGGUCUAGUGGCGCACGGGUGCGUAACGCGUGGGAACCUGCCCUUAGGUUCGGAAUAACUCCCCGAAAGGGGUGCUAAUACCGGAUAAUGUCUUCGGACCAAAGAUUUAUCGCCUUUGGAUGGGCCCGCGUUGGAUUAGCUAGUUGGUAGGGUAAAAGCCUACCAAGGCGACGAUCCAUAGCUGGUCUGAGAGGAUGAUCAGCCACACUGGGACUGAGACACGGCCCAGACUCCUACGGGAGGCAGCAGUGGGGAAUAUUGGACAAUGGGUGAAAGCCUGAUCCAGCAAUGCCGCGUGAGUGAUGAAGGCCUUAGGGUUGUAAAGCUCUUUUACCCGGGGUGAUAAUGACAGUACCGGGAGAAUAAGCUCCGGCUAACUCCGUG
rnacentral:rRNA from 1 species